rnacentral:snRNA from 1 species
UUUAUCUGAGGUGUGAUUAUUGCUAAUUGAAAACUUUUCUCAA